GAUGAACGCUAGCGGCAGGCCUAAUACAUGCCAGUCGGACGGGAUUCAGGAGCUUGCUUCUGAUGAGAGUGGCGCACGGGUGCGUAACACGUAUGUAACCUACCUUUAUCAGGGGGAUAGCCUCUCGAAAGAGAGAUUAAGCCCGCAUAAAAUCACAGCACAGCAUUGUGUAAUGAUCAAAUAUUUAUAGGAUAAAGAUGGGCAUGCGGAACAUUAGCUAGAUGGCGGGGUAACGGCCCACCAUGGCGACGAUGUUUAGGGGAUCUGAGAGGAUGGCCCCCCACACUGGGACUGAGACACGGACCAGACGCCUACGGGAGGCAGCAGUAAGGAAUAUUGGUCAAUGGGCGGAAGCCUGAACCAGCCAUGCCGCGUGCAGGAAGACGGCCCUACGGGUUGUAAACUGCUUUUAGACGGGAAUAAACCCAGAUACGUGUAUCUGGCUGAAUGUACUGUAAGAAUAAGGAUCGGCUAACUCCGUG
rnacentral:rRNA from 1 species